UGGGGAAUUUUGGACAAUGGGCGCAAGCCUGAUCCAGCAAUGCCGCGUGCAGGAUGAAGGCCUUCGGGUUGUAAACUGCUUUUGUACGGAACGAAAAGCCUCUCUCUAAUACAGGGGGGUGAUGACGGUACCGUAAGAAUAAGCACCGGCUAACUACGUGCCAGCAGCCGCGGUAAUACGUAGGGUGCAAGCGUUAAUCGGAAUUACUGGGCGUAAAGCGUGCGCAGGCGGUUUUGUAAGACAGUGGUGAAAUCCCCGGGCUCAACCUGGGAACUGCCAUUGUGACUGCAAGGCUGGAGUGCGGCAGAGGGGGAUGGAAUUCCGCGUGUAGCAGUGAAAUGCGUAGAUAUGUGGAGGAACACCGAUGGCGAAGGCAAUCCCCUGGGCCUGCACUGACGCUCAUGCACGAAAGCGUGGGGAGCAAACAGGAUUAGAUACCCUGGUAGUCCACGCCCUAAAACGAUGUCAACUGGUUGUUGGGGGAUUUAUUUCUUCAGUAACGAAGCUAACGCGUG
rnacentral:rRNA from 1 species